CCCUUAGAUGUCCUGGGCCGCACGCGCGCUACACUGAUGCAUUCAACAAGUUUUACCUUGGCCGAGAGGCCUGGGAAAUCUUUCAAAUAUGUAUCGUGAUAGGGAUAGAUUAUUGCAAUUAUUAAUCUUGAACGAGGAAUUCCUAGUAAAUGCAGAUCAUCAUUCUGCGUUGAUUACGUCCCUGCCCUUUGUACACACCGCCCGUCGCACCUACCGAUUGAAUGAUCCGGUGAAGCCUCGGGAUUGUGCCCAGAGAACUUUAUUGUGAUUUGGGUGUGAGAACUUGUCUAAACCUUAUCAUUUAGAGGAAGGUGAAGUCGUAACA
rnacentral:rRNA from 1 species